ACAACUGCUUUUCAAAACUGUUUGAAAACAAUUGCUUCUGCAGGAGUAGGAGCUAAUUUGAACAGCCCGUUCUGUCCUUGAGAUUUACAUUCCAGGAUGCCAGAGGAAAAUAGCACGCUGGAAUUUGCUUCGUGUUUGAGGUUAAGGGAUUUCUUGAAGGUCAAACUGAGUUCACACAAUUUUCUCUUCUGCCUUGAUGGAGGUUAUCCUCUAACAUACAGUUGCCUGCGAUGAGAAUAUUCUGCGUUAGUAAAGAGAAUACAGUAAGUAUGUGUCUGUAUGGAUCAAUAUAUGCAAAGUUAAUAAGUUUUCCAAGAAGAAAAGGUGAUGUAAUGGGCUGCAGAAGUAAUACUUUAUUUAUUUGUUCUCUCAUUCAAUCACGCUUAUGAUAUAAAUAGUGGAAAAAGAUACAAAACCCAAUGAAAUGUAAUCCACCCCAGUAAAGCUCCCCGGUUGCUGCGUGCUGUGCUCAGGCAGCGAGCAGCAUCCCUCGGUUGGUUCCAGCACAUUAGCAGCAACAUGUGGAGCCGCCUGUCGUGGCUUGGAGGUGUCCAACCGAUUCAGCAGCUCAGCUCAUUAGGCAAGGCCAGAAGAAAAUCAGCGUAUGGGUGGGAGAAGGGGAAAUGGAAGAGCCGGAGGCAGCACGGCCCGUGCAGUGCUGUAAUGGGCUGAGUUCUGGCAUUGCUGCGUUACACAGCCCCCAUCCUGGGGUCAGACAGCUCAUUUACUGCCUCUCUAAUGGGAGCUGGAGGUGCCCCCAGCAGGCUGCAGCAGCAGCACCAGGUGGGUGGCACCCGUCCCCUCCAAAGUCCCCCCCAGCCACGUCCCAGCACCGUGCUGGGGAGGUACCGCCCUGGUGGUCGCAUCUCAGCUUAGUUUAAAUUCAAGUGGUAACUCCAGAUACCUACAUUUGCUGUUUUCAGAGCUGAGUUUGAGUUUUCAAUGCUUUGCCCUGAUGGGCUGACUUGCCAGCAGGAUGACUGAAAGGAACAAAUGCCUCCAGAGAGCUGCAGACGGGGUUGCAGCUGCGCAGGGUCCUCCUCCCAGACCUGCUGGAGAUGUCUGCAGAAAGCAUUUCUGAGCCUGCCGUGGCCACGUACAGUGAGGCUUCACUGGUUUGCUUUUUGCAGCAUCCUCGCUCUGGCCGGAGUGCAGGAUCUGGCCCUUCUCCUCCUGCCUUUUCGUUCCCCAUCGGAUGCUGUGGCACAGCCUGGGUGCUGUGUGGUGCAGCUGGCCAAGCGGCUACAAGCAGGAUUUGCAGGAUGCUGCUUUUCGUGGUAGUGGAAGCUCUGUCUUCAUCUUCUUGCUUUGUUUUCAGCCCUUUUCACACAAGUCCAGCUCUGGAUAACGCCAGGCUUUUGUUGCUAUUUCUCAGCAUUUGGUGCUUGCGUUGUCUGAAUGCAUUUCUUCUCUUCUGCUGUGCUCAGAGACCAACUUCUGGGUCUCUGUGGGCUGCGUAGCCACACUGACUGCAGGAGCAGGAACACGAACAAGGGAUGUUUGUUUUCAUUUUCUCAUUUCUCCCCCUCAGCCCGUCUGUUUGCAGAUCCGUGUCUCUGAUCCGAUGCUUUGCUCAAUGCUUGGCUGCACUCGAGCACCCAGCAGUUCGCUUGCAGGGAAGCCUCGUGCUCAGCAGCUCUACCAGGAUUUCUGACGUUCUUGUUUGACUUGAAUUAUUGGCUGACAUUGUAUCGAUUGACUUGAUUUUAAACGAGCAUCGCGCAUGCAGUACCUGCGAUUUACUGUACAAGCUGGGUUUCAUUUCGAACAUGAGCCUCAAGCCCCUGUGCCGGCAGCUCGGCGGCAGCAUUCGAGCUCGGGGUCGGGAUGAGGUGGUGCAGUGAGUUAUGCAGAAAGUGAGUCUGGGACUAAAGUUUGGGGUUGCUGAUGUCUCAUUAAAGGCUGCUUUGAAGGACACAGGCAAAGUGUUUCCAAUCUACAAGGCUACGCUGUUCGGGUUCCAAGGUUGGAAAGUUCAUUUUUAUCUUCAUACUGUAUCUGUUUGCAGAGUUUAUAUAAUUCAAUAAUUUGGUAUUCCCUUACAUAAGCACGUCAUUACUGUUUGAACCAGAACCUAAAUCCUCGUCCUGCAGUAGAAUGUCCACGAGAGACCCCUAGCAAGAGCAUUACAGCCCCGAGCACGAGCAGCCUGGCCCCUUUUAGCUGUUUUCUGUGGAAGAGGCAGGAGUGCAGGUUUUGGAUGGGCAUCUUCUCAUUUGUAACGUCCUGAGGAAGCCUGGAUUUGGUGAUAGGGAAUAAAAUUGAUGGUAGACAUUGAGUCUUUCCUCAAAGACAAGGAGCUUGACAUAUAUAAACAACCCAGAUGGAUAUUUUUCAAAUGAAGCCAAUGACAAGGUUGACAGAGUUGGAUUAAGUUGCUCAGGGCCUGGCCCAGGGACUUCCCAACCUCCCUGGACCCCUUUUACUGCAUUUCUACAACACUGUCACUGGGAAAUGUUUUAUUUUUUUUAUUUUUUUUUCAUUGUAUUUCAUUGUGAUUUCUCCUGUUGCAGCCUGUGCCUCUCCUCCAUUCGUCGGUCUCCUCUGAGAGCGCUCUGGUUUUCUUUUUUGUCUCUAGCUGCCUUUUAGGUUUGUGGAUACCAAAGCUAUUAACCCCAUAACACUCAGCUUUCAGUUUCUUACUAGUGUAAGAACCAGUCCUGACAGUAGAAGUGUUUUUUAUUUUAUUUUUUUUUUUUUUAAGGAAAAUUAAACUAGCGUAAAGCUGGAAGAAUUAGAGAAUUCAUUUUUGGGAGGAACCCUUCCCCAGAUGUUACAGAAGAAUGGGAUUCAUCUGCCCUUUGCUUUUUAGGUUAUUUUGAGGGUUUGCGUUCACUGUGUUUUGAAAAGAUUUGCUAAAACAUUGCAGCCCUGCUGGCUGGCCAACCUUUCCCUUUUUGGGGGGGGCUGAUUAUCUCUGUGUUUCAGGAUGAACCUCCGCAUGCUAAAAACCUGACAAGUGAAUUGCCAGCGUCUCAGAUGAUUCCCUUUCUAAAGGAGAGGCUGCCCAGCUCCUGGCAUCUUUUCCUUGGAGGUUCCUGAAACUCUUCCCAAGUGUGACCUGGGUCCCCGUCAGCCCUGCUGGGGCGGAUGGGGCGCUUUUCCCGUUUGGCGGGGCUGGAGGCUGAAUCACGGCGCAGGAAAGUCCCCGCUGUCGGAGUCACAGGAGCUGAGCGCCCGAGCACAGCGCUGGCCCCAAGGCUUUGCCAAAGCCACUAAUGGGAUCCAGCUUCUGGGGUCGGGGACCGAGCUGGUGCGGACCAGCCCAGGGGCUGCAGGCUGCACCCUCGCUUGCUGGCGCGUGGUCUUGGCCCCGGUCCCCGUGCCUCAGUUUCCUCAUCUCCCCUGUGGAAAGCUUUGAAACAUGUGGAUGUCGAGAAGGAGCCAAAUAGUGAAGGGAAAACAGUUUUUAUUCCCUUUCUGGCAAGGAAGUUGUCUUCCAUGUAGACUCACCCGAUCUGAAGCUCCUCUUAAAAAAAAAAAAAAAAAAAAAUAAUUUAAAUUUAGGAUAGAAAAGGGUCAUUUUAGCUAUUUAUGGCUAACACCUAGCAGUCCUUCUUGCACCACUGGUGUGAUAGGUGGUUUGCGAGGAGCUGGGAGGACAUGAUUACUGCUCCUGUCAGCUUAGUCUAAAUGGAAAACAGGCAGCUGGUGGCUGGAGGCUGGCUACGACAGUAACCUAAGUGAUCGAGCCCUGAAAUUCAGCACAGAUCUUGUUAAUUCCAUCACUUUUAUUUGGAUUUUUUGUUCAUAUAUUUUCC